rnacentral:pre_miRNA from 1 species
UGCAGUUUUGUAUUAUUCACAUUCUUAUUUGAAAAUAUUUUAUGAUUAUUAUUUUUAUUGCUAUUAGAUGAUAAAACAUAAAUAGUACUUUAUGUGUGACUAAAUAUUUUUAAAUUUUUCAUAAUUUUUUUAAAUAAGAUGGACGGUUAAAUAUUAGACACGGAUAACUACGGUUG